AUGGCAGGUUGUGAGCGUUUAAGUUUUUUGGAUGCAUAUUCUGGCUAUCAUCAGAUCAAAAUGGCAGUUAAGGACCAGGAGAAAACGGCAUUCAUAACUCCCUUUGGAGCCUUCUACUAUGUGUCUAUGCCCUUUGGGCUCAAGAGUGCCCAGGCAACUUAUCAACGUUGUGUGCAAAAUUGUCUACACAAACAGAUUGGCCGUAAUGUACAUGCCUGCAUGGAUGAUAUCAUGGUUAAAUCCAGGAAGAAGGAGACUCUGAUUGGUGAUUUAAAGGAAACUUUUGAUAACCUGAGGACAUAA
rnacentral:rRNA from 1 species